GGCAAUCAGCUAAGUUCUGAGAAGGCUGCUACUGCUUAACAAGCUGUAACUAUUCGUACUAGCACAAUUGUUAUUGUUGAUUUCUGGGCAGAUUUAG